AGCAUUUGCUUUGGGAAAAGCCUGCGGAGUAUCAGCUUGUUGGUAGUGUAAUGGACUACCAAGGCUAUGACGCUUAGGGGAGCUGAGAGGCUGACCCCCACCGAUGGUACUGAGACACGGACCAUACACCUACGGGUGGCCGCAGUCGAGAAUCUUCCGCAAUGGACGAAAGUCUGACGGAGCGACGCCGCGUGAUCGAUGAAGUCUUUAGGGAUGUAAAGAUCUUUUAUCAAGGAGGAAGUUUAUUGACGUUACUUGAUGAAUAAGAGGUUGCUAAACUCGUGCCAGCAGCAGCGGUAAUACGAGUGCCUCAAGCGUUAUCCGGAAUUAUUGGGCGUAAAGGGUGUGUAGGCGGAUUUGUUAGUCUUUUGUUAAAGCUCCCGGCUUAACUGGGAAAAAGCAAAAGAAACGGCAAGUCUAGAGAGUGUGAGGGGUUUGCGGAACUCAUGGUGUAGGGGUGAAAUCCGUUGAUAUCAUGGGGAACACCAAAAGCGAAGGCAGCAAACUGGCACAUUUCUGACGCUGAGACACGAAAGCGUAGGUAGCGAAGGGGAUUAGAUACCCCCGUAGUCUACGCCGUAAACGAUGUUCUCUGGCUUUUUUGGGAAUCGACCCCCAAAGAGGCGAAGCUAACGCGUUAAGAGAACCGCCUGGGUAGUACGGCCGCAAGGCUAAAACUCAAAGGAAUAGACGGGGGCUUGCACAAGCGGUGGAUCAUGUGGCUUAAUUCGUCGAUAAACGAAGAACCUUACCAAGGCUAGAAACUUAUCUGAAAGCUCUAAGAAACUAGAGCCCUCUUCGGACAGAUAAGCAGGUGAUGCAUGGCCGUCGUCAGCUCGUGGCUUGAGCUGUUCCCUUAAGUGGGGUAGCGAGCGCAACCCUCAUCGUGUGUUACAAGUGUCACGCGAGACUGCC
rnacentral:rRNA from 1 species